ACGAACGCUGGCGGCGUGCUUAACACAUGCAAGUCGCACGGAAAGGCCCUGCUUUUGUGGGGUGCUCGAGUGGCGAACGGGUGAGUAACACGUGAGUAACCUGCCCUUGACUUUGGGAUAGCUUCAGGAAACUGGGGCUAAUACCGGAUAGGAGCUCCUGCUGCAUGGUGGGGGUUGGAAAGUUUCGGCGGUUGGGGAUGGACUCGCGGCUUAUCAGCUUGUUGGUGGGGUAGUGGCUUACCAAGGCUUUGACGGGUAGCCGGCCUGAGAGGGUGACCGGCCACAUUGGGACUGAGAUACGGCCCAGACUCCUACGGGAGGCAGCAGUGGGGAAUAUUGCACAAUGGGCGGAAGCCUGAUGCAGCAACGCCGCGUGCGGGAUGACGGCCUUCGGGUUGUAAACCGCUUUCGCCUGUGACGAAGCGUGAGUGACGGUAAUGGGUAAAGAAGCACCGGCUAACUACGUG
rnacentral:rRNA from 1 species